UACGGAGGGGGCAAGUGUUACUCGACUUAAUUUGGCGUAAAGGGUACGUAGGUUGUUUGGUAAAACUUUUGGUAUAAUUUGCAAGGCCGGAGGCUUAAAUACUAAAGAAUAUUGCUCGACUUGAAUCCGGAAGAAGAAGGUAGUACUCUCAACGUAGGGGUGAAAUCUGUAAAAGUUGACGGGGACUAACAUUAGGCGAAAGCAGCCUUCUAGUACGUGAUUGACACUGAGGUACGAAAGCGUAGGGAGCGAACGGG
rnacentral:rRNA from 1 species